CUUGUUGCCGCGCGCCUGGUACUGUUCAUCGAUCCGCACGUAGCCCAGUGAUCCAUAGAUGGGAUUAGGCCCAGAUCUUUCCAGCGUGACGGGCCAGGCUCCGGCCCGGUCCCUCCCCAACGCAGCAGCAAACCUGAUCCACCCCAGUACAGUGCAGGUCCGGCCCGGCUCGCCCUUUCCUAUUUUGUUUUUGCAUAAAUUGUUCAAAUCUUGCAAAAUUCAUAUCUUUUAAAUGCUAACUCGAAAUUAAAAGUGUU